rnacentral:rRNA from 1 species
UACGGGGGGGGCAAGCGUUGUUCGGAAUUACUGGGCGUAAAGGGCUCGUAGGCUGCCAACUAAGUCGGACGUGAAAUCCCUCGGCUUAACCGGGGAACUGCGUCUGAUACUGGAUGGCUAGAGUUCGGCAGGGGAGACUGGAAUUCCUGGUGUAGCGGUGAAAUGCGCAGAUAUCAGGAGGAACACCGGUGGCGAAGGCGGGUCUCUGGGCCGAUACUGACGCUGAGGAGCGAAAGCGUGGGGAGCGAACAGG